rnacentral:rRNA from 1 species
AACGUAGGAGACGAACGUUAUCCGGAGUUACUGGGCGUAAAGGGCUCGUAGGCGGCCAACUAAGUCAGACGUGAAAUCCCUCGGCUUAACCGGGGAACUGCGUCUGAUACUGGAUGGCUUGAGUGUGGGAGAGGGAUGCGGAAUUCCAGGUGUAGCGGUGAAAUGCGUAGAUAUCUGGAGGAACACCGGUGGCGAAGGCGGCAUCCUGGACCAUUACUGACGCUGAUGAGCGAAAGCCAGGGGAGCAAACGGG